rnacentral:rRNA from 1 species
GGGUUUAGACCGUCGUGAGACAGGUCGGACUUUAUCUGCUGGGGGUGCUGGCUGCCUGAGGGGAAAGGGUCCCUAGUACGAGAGGAACGGGACGCUGUGGCCUCUAGUUCACCGGUUGUCCGACAGGGCACUGCCGGGCAGCCACGCCGCCGGGGAUAAGGGCUGAAAGCAUCUAAGCCCGAAGCCCCUCCCGAAAAUAGGCAGCCACUCCCCG